CGGCCAGACUCCUACGGGAGGCAGCAGUGGGGAAUAUUGCACAAUGGGGGGAACCCUGAUGCAGCGACGCCGCGUGGGUGAAGGAGCACCUCGGUGCGUAAAGCCCUAUCGGCAGGGAAGAAACAGACGGUACCUGACUAAGAAGCCCCGGCUAACUACGUGCCAGCAGCCGCGGUAAUACGUAGGGGGCAAGCGUUAUCCGGAUUUACUGGGUGUAAAGGGAGCGUAGACGGCAGUGCAAGUCCGGAGUGAAAGCCCGGGGCUCAACCCUGGGACUGCUCUGGAAACUGUAAAGCUGGAGUGCGGGAGGGGCAGGCGGAAUUCCUGGUGUAGCGGUGAAAUGCGUAGAUAUCAGGAGGAACACCGGCGGCGAAGGCGGCCUGCUGGACCGUAACUGACGUUGAGGCUCGAAAGCGUGGGGAGCAAACAGGAUUAGAUACCCCAGUA
rnacentral:rRNA from 1 species